AUGCCGUCACUCGGGAGCACGUCCAGAAGGUCCUCCACGGUCGUCUUCGUCCGUUCCGGGUGCCGCUUCAAGCUGGGGCACCGCGUAGCCAUCGCCAUGGUCGUCUUCCCCGCCUCGGCCGCCACUGCCUCGUCGUCGUCGCCGUCGAUCUACACAACCACGACCUCCUCGGCCUCCCCAACCACGCCGUCGCGCUCGCAACUCCGAGACGGCCACGGAUGCCGCUAUAAUCGACAACAUCGACGACGACCCUCCUUCUUGUCUGAGCAACUAGAUGUUGGAUCCCUGAAGCCAGAUGUCACCGCCGAUGGAUGCUACUGCGUGAAGACCGUCGACGUCCAGGAGUAG
rnacentral:rRNA from 1 species